AACGAACGCUGGCGGCAGGCUUAACACAUGCAAGUCGAGCGCCCCGCAAGGGGAGCGGCAGACGGGUGAGUAACGCGUGGGAACGUACCCUUUGCUACGGAAUAGCUCCGGGAAACUGGAAUUAAUACCGUAUGUGCCCUACGGGGGAAAGAUUUAUCGGCAAAGGAUCGGCCCGCGUUGGAUUAGCUAGUUGGUGGGGUAAUGGCCUACCAAGGCGACGAUCCAUAGCUGGUCUGAGAGGAUGAUCAGCCACCUUGGGACUGAGACACGGCCCAAACUCCUACGGGAGGCAGAAGUGGGGAAUAUUGGACAAUGGGCGCAAGCCUGAUCCAGCCAUGCCGCGUGAGUGAUGAAGGCCCUAGGGUUGUAAAGCUCUUUCACCGGAGAAGAUAAUGACGGUAUCCGGAGAAGAAGCCCCGGCUAACUUCGUGCCAGCCGCCGCCGUAACAC
rnacentral:rRNA from 1 species